AUCUUUUUCCUGGGAUUUUUGAUACAAAAAACAAUAUAUGGCCAAUCAGUAGCUUAUGUUAUUUUAAUGUAAAUUCUUGAUAACUUAGAAACUGCCUUUUCCUUUAAAAGCCCACUUGUCACUGCUGCUGAUGGGAGCAUAUAUUCAGGGCAACUUGAAUUGAUGUUCCUGGGUUGCAGUUCUCAAACUUGGCCUGAAUAAACUCUACGAUCCUGUUUUUACUUAUUUUGUAGUAAGAUUUAAUUGUUUUGAAAACAAAGUAUGCAUUUUGUUGUCUUCCUGUUUGGGGCAACUUCGUUAAUAUGAGGUCUAUCCAGGAAAAUGGUGAACUAAAAAUUGAAAGCAAGAUUGAAGAGAUGGUUGAACCACUAAGAGAGAAAAUCAGAGAUUUAGAAAAAAGCUUUACCCAGAAAUACCCACCAGUAAAGUUUUUAUCAGAAAAGGAUCGGAAAAGAAUUUUG
rnacentral:lncRNA from 10 species